rnacentral:rRNA from 1 species
AACGUAGGAGCCAAGCGUUAUCCGAAUUCACUGGGCGUAAAGCGCGUGCAGGCGGUCUGGUAAGUUGGAUGUGAAAUCUCCUGGCUCAACUGGGAGAGGCCGUUCAAUACUGUCAGACUAGAGGGCGACAGAGGGAGGUAGAAUUCCCGGUGUAGUGGUGAAAUGCGUAGAUAUCGGGAGGAAUACCAGAGGCGAAGGCGACCUUCUGGGUCGUACCUGACGCUCAGACGCGAAAGCUAGGGGAGCGAACGGGAUUAGAAACCCCGGUAGUCCUAGCCGUAAACGAUGUAGACUGGGUGUUGGCGGGGUAAAAGCCGUCAGUGCCGAAGCAAACGCGAUAAGUCUACCGCCUGGGGACUACGGCCGCAAGGUUAAA